rfam:Beta vulgaris subsp. vulgaris Bvchr7.sca001.con0009.1, whole genome shotgun sequence.
AUGACGGUGAUGGUAAUUCAACCUAGUACGAGAGGAACGUUGAUUCGCAUAAUUGGUACUCGUGCUUGGUUGAAAAGCCAAUGGCGCAAAGCUGUCGUGCGCUGGAUUAUGACACAACGCCUCUAAGUCAAAAUCUGGGACAGAAUCGAUGCAUGCGCCCGCCGCUUGAUUGUCGUCCUACAUAAGGGGCUUCACCCCCCCCCCCCCCAAGGGCACGUGUCGUAGCUAAGCAAGCGCGGCGGAUGUGCCGUGAGGGACGCCUUGAAAUACAAUUCCUACCGAGCGGCUGGUUGAAUCCUUUGCAGACGACUUAUAUACGCGAUGGGGUAUUCUAAGUGGCAGAGUGGCCUUACUGCCACGAUCCACUAAAAUUCAGCUCUAUGUGGAUUCGAUUC